GGGGAUAUAGCUCAGCUGGUAGAGUGUUUGCCUUGCAUGCACAAGGAAGGACCUGAGUUUCAUCCCCA
rnacentral:tRNA from 1 species